GAGCGCCCCGCAAGGGGAGCGGCAGACGGGUGAGUAACGCGUGGGAAUCUACCCAGCUCUACGGAAUAACCCAGGGAAACUUGGACUAAUACCGUAUACGUCCUUCGGGAGAAAGAUUUAUCGGAGUUGGAUGAGCCCGCGUUGGAUUAGCUAGUUGGUGGGGUAAAGGCCUACCAAGGCGACGAUCCAUAGCUGGUCUGAGAGGAUGAUCAGCCACACUGGGACUGAGACACGGCCCAGACUCCUACGGGAGGCAGCAGUGGGGAAUAUUGGACAAUGGGCGCAAGCCUGAUCCAGCCAUGCCGCGUGAGUGAUGAAGGCCCUAGGGUUGUAAAGCUCUUUUAUCCGGGACGAUAAUGACGGUACCGGAAGAAUAAGCCCCGGCUAACUUCGUGCCAGCAGCCGCGGUAAUACGAAGGGGGCUAGCGUUGCUCGGAAUCACUGGGCGUAAAGGGCGCGUAGGCGGACGUUUAAGUCAGGGGUGAAAUCCCGGGGCUCAACCUCGGAAUUGCCUUUGAUACUGGAUGUCUCGAGACCGGAAGAGGUAAGUGGAACUGCGAGUGUAGAGGUGAAAUUCGUAGAUAUUCGCAAGAACACCAGUGGCGAAGGCGGCUUACUGGUCCGGAUCUGACGCUGAGGCGCGAA
rnacentral:rRNA from 1 species